CCUACGUGUGGCAGCAGUGAGGAAUAUUGGUCAAUGGGCGCGAGCCUGAACCAGCCAAGUAGCGUGAAGGAUGACUGCCCUACGGGUUGUAAACUUCUUUUAUAAAGGAAUAAAGUGAGGCACGUGUGCCUUUUUGUAUGUACUUUAUGAAUAAGGAUCGGCUAACUCCGUGCCAGCAGCCGCGGUAAUACGGAGGAUCCGAGCGUUAUCCGGAUUUAUUGGGUUGAAAGGGAGCGUAGAUGGGUUGUUAAGUCAGUUGUGAAAGUUUGCGGCUAAACCGUAAAAUUGCAAUUGAUACUGGCAGUCUUGAGUACAGUUGAGGUAGGCGGAAUUCGAGGUGUAGCGGUGAAAUGCUUAGAUAUCACGAAGAACUCCGAUUGCGAAGGCAGCUUACUAAACUGCCACUGACAUUGAUGCUCGAAAGUGUGGGUAUCAAACAGGAUUAGAUACCCCAGUAGUC
rnacentral:rRNA from 1 species